AUCAAGAGAGAGUGUGAGCAUUAGGGACUGUGGUUAAAAAAAAUUACUCAAUUUCCUACUAGGACAGAAGAUGAUGCUAGUUAGUGAGCAGCUAGUGAUUUCUUUUUAGAAGUUUUUAAUAAGGCCUUCAUUUAAAUUUAAGCUGAACUAUCUUAUAAACAAAAGCACAACAGGGUGCCUGUCCAGUGGAAUGUAUAUGUACAGGUUCUGGGAUCUCCAUAUGCUUCUUCACCUCUUAGAUGCUGGACAACCACAUGUACAGGAUGGAUCACCAGCUUGAAAAUCUCAAACUCUGGAUCACUGCUGUGCAAUUGUGAGGUUGAGAACUGUAUUUUGACUGAUGGUCACACCACAAUCAGGAGUGUGCCGCCAUAGAGAAAAUGAAUCAUCAAACAAAAUCAGGGCCAAUAUCAAGAUGUUCACUGAGAAGCUACAGGCAUUCUGAAGUAGCAGAAGCAAAGAAUGUGGCUCAUAUUGAUACCUAUGACAUGGGUAGAAAGAGGUCACUGCAUCACAGGUCAGAUCAAUUUUCCUUCGUGUGAAUCCAAGAAAAGCGAUGAGACCAGACCGAGUACCAGGCUGUGAACUCAGAGCAGUCGUAGAUCAACUGGCAGAAGUCUUCUCGGACAUCUUCAACCUCUCCCUGCAGCAGGCCACUGUUCCUGCCUGUUUCAAGAGGGCCAACAUCAUCC